rnacentral:rRNA from 1 species
ACGAACGCUGGCGGCGUGCUUAACACAUGCAAGUCGAACGGAAAGGCCCUGCUUUUGUGGGGUGCUCGAGUGGCGAACGGGUGAGUAACACGUGAGUAACCUGCCCUUGACUUUGGGAUAACUUCAGGAAACUGGGGCUAAUACCGGAUAGGAGCUCCUGCUGCAUGGUGGGGGUUGGAAAGUUUCGGCGGUUGGGGAUGGACUCGCGGCUUAUCAGCUUGUUGGUGGGGUAGUGGCUUACCAAGGCUUUGACGGGUAGCCGGCCUGAGAGGGUGACCGGCCACAUUGGGACUGAGAUACGGCCCAGACUCCUACGGGAGGCAGCAGUGGGGAAUAUUGCACAAUGGGCGGAAGCCUGAUGCAGCAACGCCGCGUGCGGGAUGACGGCCUUCGGGUUGUAAACCGCUUUCGCCUGUGACGAAGCGUGAGUGACGGUAAUGGGUAAAGAAGCACCGGCUAACUACGUGCCAGCAGCCGCGGUGAUACGUAGGGUGCGAGCGUUGUCCGGAUUUAUUGGGCGUAAAGGGCUCGUAGGUGGUUGAUCGCGUCGGAAGUGUAAUCUUGGGGCUUAACCCUGAGCGUGCUUUCGAUACGGGUUGACUUGAGGAAGGUAGGGGAGAAUGGAAUUCCUGGUGGAGCGGUGGAAUGCGCAGAUAUCAGGAGGAACACCAGUGGCGAAGGCGGUUCUCUGGGCCUUUCCUGACGCUGAGGAGCGAAAGCGUGGGGAGCGAACAGGCUUAGAUACCCUGGUAGUCCACGCUGUAAACGGUGGGUACUAGGUGUGGGGUCCAUUCCACGGGUUCCGUGCCGUAGCUAACGCUUUAAGUACCCCGCCUGGGGAGUACGGCCGCAAGGCUAAAACUCAAAGGAAUUGACGGGACCCCGCACAAGCGGCGGAGCAUGCGGAUUAAUUCGAUGCAACGCGUAGAACCUUACCUGGGUUUGACAUGGAUCGGGAGUGCUCAGAGAUGGGUGUGCCUCUUUUGGGGUCGGUUCACAGGUGGUGCAUGGCUGUCGUCAGCUCGUGUCGUGAGAUGUUGGGUUAAGUCCCGCAACGAGCGCAACCCUUAUUCUAUGUUGCCAGCGGAUAAUGCCGGGGACUCGUAGAAGACUGCCGGGGUCAACUCGGAGGAAGGUGGGGACGACGUCAAGUCAUCAUGCCCCUUAUAUCCAGGGCUGCAAACAUGCUACAAUGGCCAGUACAGAGGGCUGCAAAACCGCGAGGUUGAGCGAAUCCCACAAAGCUGGUCUCAGUUCGGAUUGGAGUCUGCAACUCGACUCCAUGAAGGCGGAGUCGCUAGUAAUCCCGGAUCAGCAACGCCGGGGUGAAUACGUUCCCGGGCCUUGUACUCACCGC